UAUUAUGCUUCACCGAUAGAAAGAGAGGAGAAGAAAGAAAGAGAAAUCCUAAACCCACAAAUUUCUACCGUCCAUAACUUUUGAUUCCAAACUCUGAUUGAGGAGUUUUUUGCAGCCACGCAUCUUCUCAUCGAGAUUUUCGAUUCUAAUCCAACAAAGUGGUGUGAUGAAGAUUGUUCCACUGGUGAUUCGAAGGUUUGGAGGAGACAAAAGGUGCAGAGUUAUACUAGGGCUAGAAUCUCUUGAUGCAGGACGCGAGGCACCUCACUAAGCAUUCUGGAGACUCUUUGAAAGCGAAGAACUCUUGUGUGAAUAGAUUCUCCGCCUUGUGUAUUUUGUAUCCCUCAUAGAGGUUGAUUUAGAGAAACAUGUGUUUUGUCUUAUAUUUUGGAUAUAUAUACUCAGGUCGGUCUUAGUUUCGCAGGUCAAGUUUGGAACUUGAUAGUUGUAUCUUUGGAACUUCAAUCUUUAUAUAUACGUGUGUUAUCCUUU